AAAACACAGCCACAUUGGCCUGGUUUAGAGUCAGGAAAGUGUCUCCUGCCUUUUCCAGCUGUUCUGCAACUUCCAGGAUUUACGAAUGAGUUCCUGAUCCUGCACAGUUGUCAUCAGUUGGAAUAAAUACUGACUCAGUCGUGCUCUGCUUUUUCUCACUCUACAGGCAGGACAACACCAGGAAUUGCAGAGUGUGCCAGUGAUCUACAUUAAAUGCUUCAGACUGCAUAAAUAUUAGAGAAUAGGUUGCCUAAAAAAACAGUCAAUUAAAAAAAAAUGGAAAUAAGAGUGAAAAAAGAAUAUCCAGAGUGUCAGUAACUGUAUUUAGAAAACUUAUUCUGUAAAAACAUGGCAGAUUUUCACUAAGCUUUUUGAGGGGCUGGAUGAGAAACAGUUACAGAGCUCAGACCCUGAAGCAAAAAUAAGGGAUGUCUUCUGUGGCUCCUAAUGAUUCCUCCGGUUAAUUCAGGAAUGGCAUUGACAGUCUCCAGGGAGAGCUGCACUUGCUUUUUCUUAGCUGCUGGCAUGACUGCUGUAAAGUAAAGGCUUUGAAAGGAAUUCUUGAAGGAGAAUUUUUACACUAAGAGGGAGUCCUCAGGAAAAA